UCGUGCCUAUGCUGCAAGGAAGAAUACUUGAAAGAUGGUCUGUUUGUUCAGCAACAGCCAUUGGUUUUUAGCUGCAUUUACAACUCAAAUAAAUCGCUACUACAUGCACGCUUUAUUGGAUUUUCAACCUGAAACUUGUAUAUAUUUUUUGCCAUUAUUUCAGCAAGGCAGGAGUUUUGUAUCAUUUUCCAUGGUGACAUAUCAUGCCGAUUAUCUGUCGCAAAAGUAUAGAAUCAGCGAACGUUGAAAUAAA